rnacentral:rRNA from 1 species
UACGGGGGGGGGUAAGCGUUGUUCGGAAUUACUGGGCGUAAAGGGCUCGUAGGCGGCCAACUAAGUCAUACGUGAAAUCCCUCAGCUUAACUGGGGAACUGCGUGUGAUACUGGAUGGCUUGGAUUUGGGAGAGGGAUGCGGAAUUCCAGGUGUAGCGGUGAAAUGCGUAGAUAUCUGGAGGAACACCGGUGGCGAAGGCGGCAUCCUGGACCGGUAUUGACGCUGAUGCGCGAAAGCCAGGGGAGCCAAGCGGG